UAGAUAAAAUUUUAGUUUUGAAGCAAGUUUACAUUUUUUUUUAACUAGCAAGUAGAAGUAACUUUUAUUGCUUAUUCUGUCUACCCUUUUUCAGACAUGCAGUGGAUAAAAAUAUUGAGUAUUAGAUUUUCUGGGAAAGCAGGUGAGUGUUGGGCCUGAUCAGAUAGAUGCUUUAAUGGAAAGAUGUAAAUGUAAGAUAUUUUACUAAUUAAUGACCUCUGUUUUGGGCCGUGUUGUUGUAAACCCUUGGCUGAUGUGAAUAGUGUAUCAUAUACCAAAUUAAUAUUUUUUCUUGUUUUCCUGUUUUCUGCAGCCAUAUUCUACAUUUGGUGAUUCCAGGCUUGCCUCUGAUAAACCUGAUGAUUAUGAGCAUGCAAAAGAGUUUAUCAAAGAUGGCAAGGCAAAGUUACCAUUGGGAACACUGAGUAAAUCUGAAUGGGAAGCAACAAGUAUUUACUUGGUAUUUGCCUUUGAGAAGCAAGAGUGAAACUUCAUAUACCAGACUCAGCAAGAAGAGAUCAUAUCCAUGUGCAAGUUGGAGCGGUCAGAAAUCCAUUGUGGCAACUAUUUUUUUAUUUUUAUUUUUUAAUUAUCAGAAGUGUGCAGGACACUACCAAAAAUGAGAGCAAGCUCACGAUUCUGAGUUACAUUGCCUGUCUGUGACAGAUGGACUUGUGUGUGUAUAUAUAAGAAAGAUUCUGAACCAGUCUUUUUAAGCAUUUGUAAGCAAUCUGAACGCUCUCAAAACUUAUGUUUGAACUUGACAACUUCAUGUUAGAAAAAAAUGUUUUGUUAGUCUUAUGUUUGUGCUUACCAGCCUGAUGCUGCAUUUUCUGAAGUUGAUGGAAAAUGACUGUUAACUGUUAACUUCAGUGAUGUAGAAUGAGGGCCUAAAUAUUGUAACGCAAAGCUCGGUUAGCUCAUAAUGUGAUGGAUUCAGACAUGUAGGGUAUGUCUACAUUGCAUGCAGAGCUAAGUGACAAACAAUACCCAAGUCAGUUUGAGUACUACUUAUGUGCUGUGCUCGUGCCUGCAGUGUAAAUCUACCGUAGAGAUAUUCAUGGUGUAGUUUACACGGUAAAGUUUCAUGAUGUUUUUGGUUGUUUUUUUUUUUUGCUUGCUGAUAUAGUGUCACUUCAUGGUGCUUCCAAGAUUAAAUAAGUUUGUUCUGUACAAAGCUGCUCUAAAAGAACUGAAUUUCUGAACUUUUAAAAAUCUUUACAUCAUUUUUCCAAGUAUGACUAUACAGUAAUCAAUAACAGCCGCUGAGCUUAAAUUACUGAACAUUUUCUAUUAUAUUAAAGACUGUCCUGACUUUUUUUCAUAGUUUUAAUGUCUCUUUAAAACUUACUAGAUGGAUCUUAGGAUGUGUCUUGCUUGUUUGAUAAAAUUCCAAAUAGGCUUGGCAGAAGAGUUAACUCUUAGUGCUGAUGGGGAUUUCACUUAAAGCAUUAAGAACAUGAUCAUAAACUAAAAGGGGAACCUGUAUAAUCGUUGAGGGUACUGGAAUUUACUCUAGUAGGGAUGGUUGCAUAUGUGCACACACACCAUUAGAUGUAGGAAAUAAUAUCAAAAUGAGAACCAAAUAUUCUGUUUGGGAAUAUAAACUGAUGCUCUUGAUAGCAGAAUGAUACCUAACUCCUGUCCUACUCUCUGCCAUUCUAUUGGACCUGGCUUGGGGAUUUCUGGCAUGGUGUUUAGUCCUCCUUCAUUAUGCCAGUAGCCACCCACUAGUGAGAAGAUGAGAGUUACUUCAGGAUUUUUCUCUCUCUUCUUGAGCUAAGAGAUGCUUUUUGAUGCUGUUGGCUAUUUUAGUUUACAUACAGGUUAAUUGAUAGUGUUGAUGGUACACAAGUAUUUUUUGCAAACCUAUAAUAAACCUAAGAAUGCUAUUAAACAUUCAAAUUUUUUGAGUUUGUAGUUGUAGAGCCUUUCCUCUGCAAAUUAGGUCAUACGCUUUCCUCUGACUCUUGAUUUUUAAUUUUCUAGAAGAUAAUGUAUAACCUUCACUAAAUCGGUAGUAUCACAGUCAUGAGUUCUACUAAAUUUAUUUUUAAAAGGUGAUUUUUUUUUUUUUUAAACUAGAAA